rnacentral:misc_RNA from 1 species
ACUAGCUGUUGCAUACAUUCUAGCUGACGGUCUAUCGCCUUCUGGAUUUAGCCUCUGCCAUGCAUAAGGUUUCUGAGCAGUAUCCAGGGCCCAAGCAUCAGAAAGAACUCUUUUCCCAUCAUUGCCGCUGACAGUUACCAGAUAUCUUUGUGCAACCAAGUCCAGGACCGCGGUAUGGCCACGUAAUGGACUUGGUUGCACAAAGA